UUUUUUUCCUUUCCUGCAUCGGUAUAUUGAAUUCAGAAUGGUAAUAAAUACACAACUAAAGCUGGAACGGUGGCUAUCUAUGUACAUACAUACACAAAAUAUUCAUAUUUACAUGUUUUUGACCAUACCAUUCUCACAUAUGAUAUCUAUAGUUUUAUGUAUGAAACGUUAGCAGGUAUUCAUUAUUAAAGACUUUCUAUAUGUCAAGACGAUUACCUAAUGUAACCAUAUUAUAUUAAAAUAUAUUAUAUAAUACUGUAUUAUAUUAUAUUUUUUUAUUAUAUUACAUUAUAUUACAUAAUAUUUUAUUUUUUCCCCUCUUUCUGCGCUAUUUUCAUGCACUAUUUCCAUUAUAUAUCUGAGGGGUGAGUAGGGUGCAUAAGGUCUCAUUGAAGUUACAACUGGACAAUGAAGUGGAAAGCCAAUCGGAGUUUAGGAGGAAAGGUACUCGUCGCCAGUUCUCUCCAACAGUUGUACACAAUUUGACGCGCCCUUCCCUUCUACAUAUAUUUAAUGGGAACACAGUAAAUUUAAGACGAACAACAUUUGCAUACAAUAUUACAGAAAUUUUCAUUAUUAUGUCUUCUGAUGUAACAUUAAACCUAGAAUUCUUCUUUUCUUGUCUA